rnacentral:rRNA from 1 species
CCCUUAGAUGUCCUGGGCUGCACGCGCGCUACACUGAUGUGUCCAGUAAGCACCUAACCUCUUCCGAAAGGAACGGGUAACCUUUGCAAAGCACAUCGUGAUGGGGAUAGAUUAUUGCAAUUAUUAGUCUUGAACGAGGAAUUCCUAGUAAGCACAAGUCAUCAGCUUGUGUUGAUUACGUCCCUGCCCUUUGUACACACCGCCCGUCGCUCCUACCGAUUGAAUGUGCUGGUGAAAAGUUCGGAUUGGGAAUAGGAGACGGCAACGUAUCCUGUUUCUGAGAAAAUCUUUAAACCCUCCCAUUUAGAGGAAGGAGAAGUCGUAACA